rnacentral:lncRNA from 1 species
UUCUGCUAAGCGCCCGUUAGCCUUGUAUUCAAUUACGUGGUGCUUAAUCUAGCUCCAGUUGACUUCUGUUACUUCCUUCCAAUGUAAUAAAUCACCCGUUUCCUGACCUGGGCCCAUGGUGAGCUUGUGCAUGAAGAGGAAGUAACACUUGAGUGCCGUGGAUUGACUGCUGGCACAAAAAUACACCACGGGGUCUCCUGGCUCAGAAGACUGGAUUUCCAGGCUUCAAG